UAUUUUCUAAAUCUUCAAUAUUUCUUUUAUUAUUUGGAUCAAAUUUUAGUAUAUUAAUUUGAAGUCCUUGUAAUUUAAUUUGUAAUUCUUUUAAGAAUUCAUUAUAUUUUUUAUUAUCUCUAAGGGAUGCCUUAGUGAUAUUGAUAGGUGGUUUUAUACCUACAGGUUCAAUUAUGAACGGCUUCUUAUAAGAAGAUUCCUUUUUCUCUGUAGAAGAAAUUUUGUCUUCUAUUAAGGCAAUAUUUUCCUCAACUCUAGUUAAUUGAUGACUAAUUGUGGUUAAAUUUAAAUUAGUCCAAUUAUUUUGUUUAAUAACUUUAUCAUUACUUGUAUCUCCUUUAGGAUGAAUAAAGGCAGUAGCAUCAAAGGUUAUUGGUUCACCAGCACUAUUAGUGCCAUAUUCCAUAGCAAUAGAUACUGAAGGUGGGUGGAUGUUCUUAAGAACCAUUCCCUCCUUUGUUUUCCAUUCUCUGGAAAAUGCUUCUAAGACACAUAAAUGUUUUUCAGUAUAACCAAAAUGUUCAAAAUAAUCAACAUAAAAUUCUCCACAAUGUUUAGUUAUAAACCAUUCUGGGAAAGGAAUCAUUUUUCUAACUUUUUCUAAGUGAAGAUAAUAUUCACUUUUCAUUUCAUUUAUAAAAUUCUUAUCUAAUUGUCUAUACAUCCUUACAAAACCUUCAUACUUAGGUUGCAUAAGGUCAUUUCUCAUUAUAUCUCUUAAUAUAUGAUGGUAUUCACCAUCUACAUUAAAUAUAGCGUCACCUAUCAUAUCGAAAAGUUUAUUUCACUAGCAGAAGGUAUAUCCUGCUUCUUAUAUACUCCAUGUGGUAUUUGAUUAGGGGAUAUUCUAAUUCCUUCAACUGAUACGUUAUCAUCCAUAGGAUCACUAGUAACAGAUUGUGUACUAACCGAAGGUCUAGCACUAGAUGAUGGUAUGGAUACCUUAUAAGGUACUUCUGAGUAACUUCUAGUUAAUUUAGGAAGUUCUUUUCUAAAGUUUAAGAAAACUUCUCCAUCAGCAUGCUCAACUAUAGAUUCAAUAUCCCUAUGUAUAAUAGGUUUAGGAGGUAUAGCCCUCUGAAUUCUCCAUCUGUCAGGAAAUUCUAUAUCUUCCCAUUUAAUUAACUUAUUAGUUGCAGUAAAUAAAUUUGAUAACAUAUUUGACUCUAUCAGACUAGUAUAACCUAAGUUAUUACCUACUUGUUUAAUGUUAGGUGUUAAAGUAUUCAUUACUUUAAAAUAUAUGCGGUAAAUAACAGCAACCGUUUCAGAUCCAGGUAAAAAUUCAUAACCUUUAGUUAAUAACUUUAACUGAACAGACUCACAUAUAUGUCUAUCUGAUAAGGAUAAAGUUAAAUUAGGAUAAACAUUAAAAUAAACAGGACCAUGACAUAAACUGGUCUCUACUGCUCCCAUUAUGGAAGGAAUCCAAUUAAGACACCUAGCAUCUCUUAAAGUAGCUUGAAUACAAGCAUUUAAACCUAAUAAAGUUAAAGGUUUAAAGGCAACUUGGACAAGACCAAUAUGCAUGAACUUAUAUUUGCCUCUAUAUCUAAUUAUAUCACGAGGAUUUAUAAGAUUCAAUUCUUCAUUAUCUUGACCUAGACUUAAGGUUUGUUCCAUAGUCUUAACAACCAUACUGCUAAUUAACUCAAACAUACCUUUCUUAUAAAUAGUACUAGGUUGAACAGUAGGAAUAGUCCAUUUGUUUAACUGUUCUCGAAUAUUUUCAUAUUCAAUUAAAUCUAUAUUUUUAAUAGAAUCAUUUUCAUUUAAUUUCUGCAUAUCAGAAAUUUGAGACGAUACCUCACUAUGAUUAGAACUAGAUACAAGAUCGGCCAUAUGGGAAAUAAGUCUGUUAGCCUUUCAGGAUUUUCUCUGAGUCAUUAAUUUUUUUUUUUUUUACUAUUCUUCUUCUUCAUUACUGAAUGGAAAUAACUGAAUUAUUUCAGAGAUUAAUCAUGGAUACUUCGGUCAACGAUUUACAAGCUUACAAUGGACCUUAACGCCUCAAACGCCCUCCUGGCUAACGGCAAAUAGGUCACCCAGCUUAACGCGACAAAUUGAACCAUCCAUUAUUAAUCUGGUAAUAAUUCUUUCCCACUUUCUUCAUGAAUUAGAAGAAUAUUAUAAACAUCUAACUAAACAACCAAACAUAUAAACAUACAAAUAAAUAAAACUUUCAUGGCUCAGAGUAAUACCUGUUACAGGCUAACAGAGAUAGUUAGCCGACUAUCAUUAUGGAUCCAACAAUGGCUCUGAUACCAAAUACAGCGGAAGGCUUGAAGAGGACUAAACUUUUAUUUUUUAAGAAAUUUAUUACAAGAGAGAGUACAAGAGAGAGAAUGAGGAGAGAGGAGGGAAGAAGAGUUUCUAAGAGUAUGCCUUCACAAAGGGGAAAGGCUCCCUUAUAUAGAACUAAGAAAGAAUCUCGCCGAGUACACUCUGGGCCCCAUCGUCACGGGAUUCUAUCUUUCUUAAAAGAAAAGAAAGUUGGCAU
rnacentral:lncRNA from 1 species